AUCUACAGGCAUACCACCCUGAACAUACCUGAUCUCUUCUGAUAUCAGAAGCUAAGCAGGGUCAGGUCUCGUUAAUACUUGGAUGGGAGAAUAAGUUACAUUUUUAUAGU
rnacentral:rRNA from 1 species